CAUGUGGUGCAGCCGUCUACCCAUUACUCGAAAUGGUUUUAAACGUAUAAGUUUAAUAAUUGUUUUAUAAAAAAUCGUAUGAUGUAACCGAAAAGAAAAAGCCAUUUUAAGACUUUUAUUUUGAAAAGGUUUUCGAAGGCCAGUUGUUGCAUCAUACAGCAGUUUGUGACGAGCAUCUGAAGACAUAACAGAAAUACAGAGCUCAGAAAGGAGUGAGUCUUCAAAACAAACAGUGCAGAAGAUGAUGAAAGGAAUCCCUCGCCAGAUUGUUCCAGAAAUUUGCAAGGAGGGGAAAUAAAGGAAAUAAAAAAAUUUGCAGCCA